GUGCUUGCCAAAUCUCCAGGCUCUUUUGACAAACAUUGAAAUGAACACUAGAUGGUGCCAAGUGACUGUUCUCCUUUUUUUCAUUGUGUAUUGCAAUUCACAGUUGUUUGCCAAACUACCUGAAUAAUUUCACUUUGCAUUUCAGGGAUGACUACAACCACAGGGAUCGAACCAGAAACACUUGGAGGAGAGAUGCCCAGGCAUAGAUGACAAAGAGAUGACUGAGAGCGGUCUCAACUGGUUGCUCCGAACUUGCUCUGAACCGAGAGAGGUGGAGAACAAUGGCCUUUGUCAAUGGCCUAUGCUGAAGGACCUGAGCCCAAGGACCAUGCCACAGGACUACCUGGCAUGAUGACUCCUUGCUGUCCCCAGUCCACCUGGCCGUGCUGCUGCUCCAGUUUCAACUGUUCUGCCUACGGCUAUGGAAUCCUGACUUGUUCACCGGACGUGCUACCUGUCCCAGACCUAUUAUUUGACAAUGCUGGUCAUUUAUGAACAUUUGAACAUCUUGGCCAUGUUCUGUUAUAAUCUCCACCCGGCACAGCCAGAAGAAGACUGGCCACCCCUCAUAGCCUGGUUCCUCUCUAGGUUUCUUCCUAGGUUUUGGCCUUUCUAGGGAGUUUUUCCUAGCCACUGUGCUUCUACACCUACAUUGCUUGCUGUUUGGGGUUUUAGGCUGGGUUUCUGUGCAGCACAUUGAGAUAUCAGCUGAUAUACGAAGGGCUAUAUAAAUACAUUUAUAAUAUAAAUAAUAAUAUCCCAUUUAGCAGACGCUUUUGUCCAAAGCGACUUACAAGUCGGCUGGGGCCACUACUUUUUGCAUAUGGGUGGCCCCAGUGGGAAACGAACCCACGACGCUUGGCGUUGCAAGCGCCAUGCUCUACCGACUGAGCCACACAGGACCCACACAGGAUUUGAUUGACUUAGCACAAGAUAUUUCCUUACAAUAUAAGAUUGAUAUAUGUAACCAAAUUGCAGAGCAACCUUUUUUUUCUUCUUUAAAAUGCAAUUUAAAUUGAAUGAAUGUGUUACUUUGCAGAUGUAUUUAAAUGGAAUAGAGAACAGGGCAAAUGUGGUGCAUGUUCACUAAACUCAGUCCGCCACCUUAAGUUGGGAGCAUGGUUGACUCAUAGGGCUACGUGUGUAAGUGUGUGUGCUAACACAUGCCAUUUCUAUGUGUUUGUUUGAGUGUGCAUUUAUUUGUGAGUGUGUGUGUGUGUGUGUGUGUCUUUAUCUGGGUGUGUGUCUGAGUUUGUAUUUGUGUGUGUGUGUAUGUGUGUCUGCGCCAAUGCGUGUCUUUCUCUGUGUAUUUGAAUGCGUGUCUUUCUCUGUGUAUUUGAGUUUGUUUCUGUGUGUGUGGGUUCAAGCCUGUGCACACGCACACACACACACCACAGUAGGUGUUGUCAGAAAUGAUCCCAUUUUCAUUACUCACCAGUUCAAAGAAGGAGGUGAGGCCCUGCCUUGCAGCAAGUGAUAAAUGCAUUACCCCAAUAAACCCUGUCUCCACAGAGGUGCUGAGUAGGGAGACACACACAAA